UUAAAGGUUGUUGGGGCGGGGUGGGUGCACAGUUGAACUGAGCUCAGUGCAUCCACUGGCAAGGAGGUGGUAGCAGGAAAUAGGCACGUGGUGGCUUCAGUAACAGAGAGGACUGCAGGGCAGACCUGAGCUUAGUAGCCUGGCUUCUCCAGGAGCUGAGGGUGAGCAUCAUGCCGGCUCCAUCUCCCUCUUUGUUGUGGAAAAGGCAGAUGGACUCAACGACUCUCUAUUACCGUCCAGCUCUCAAGUCCCUUCUCUUGUGAAAAUGGAAAAGUUGAACUACAGUUGAGAUAUUAUUCCCAGAUGUUCUUUGGAACACAGGGGAUUUCUCCAAAAGACACAGAACAAAUUGCCUCCAAACAGUCAAGAUUCCAGCAGAAGCCGGAGUAGCAGACUACUUGGAUCUUCGAAGUACCUGGCCCUGAGUCAGUUAAGGAAGACCGUUUCUUCUCUUUUGUACAAUCCUAUCAUGAGAGCUGCGAAGUGAACUAAGAGCUUCUGCUUUCAUCAUUGACCUCCCAAUCCUAAUAAUAUGUUCACUGGCCAACUUCCUAGUCAAUUUGUCUUUUGGAUAUAAUGUUCCUCUACUAUUUGCCUGAUUGAGAAAUCUGCUACAGAACAUGACCAGUUAGCGUUCCCACCAACCCCAGUGCUACACUGACUGUCUUUCGAUGGACUUUCCUCCUUGCUGCCUCUCUGAGGUCCCAGACCUUCAGAGUGACCCUCACGGCUCUGUCUAAGUUUCUGUCAUACUUCUGCCAAGAGAGACAACUAAAUCAAUAUUUUUAAUGUGCUUUGCUGCCAGAAUUCGAUGAUCUGUCACAGUUCUUGCCUAAUACACCCAAUCAUUAUUGUUAAAAUGUUUUUUAGCUUUGUUUGUAGAAUUGCUUUAACUGGUUCCAUCUCUGGGAGCUACACUUUGAAAUAUAACUUUAGCAACAUUUUACUAUACUUUUUCACAACCCAGAGCAGUAAUAUUUUAUGCUAAGUGGUUAAUCUAAUUCCAUAAAUCUUUUGCAACUAUCCUCUAUUCUUUUCCUUGUAAUUUCCACCUGGGAAGGUUUUUACUGAUUAUCAUCCUAUCCUGAGUCAUCCCACAAACCAAUCUGUCUCACUUCAUUGCUUCUAACCUACAGACUAAGCAUAACUUCGGCUAAAUGAUCUUUGAUAAGAUGCUAUGACUCUAUAAAGCCUUUGAUAUUCAUGUCUAAAUUUAAUCAAUCACUUGUAGAUUUUCAUAGAAUCAAUCUUUCACUUCUACAACUGGGAGUAUUUGUAAGUUGUUUAUCUUAAACAGUUCCUCUAUUAUGCUUUUCACAUUAAAUAAAUCAACCCCUUCAAAUCAA